GACGAACGCUGGCGGCGUGCUUAACACAUGCAAGUCGAACGGAAAGGCCCUGCUUUUGUGGGGUGCUCGAGUGGCGAACGGGUGAGUAACACGUGAGUAACCUGCCCUUGACUUUGGGAUAACUUCAGGAAACUGGGGCUAAUACCGUAUAGGAGCCCCUGCUGCAUGGUGGGGGUUGGAAAGUUUCGGCGGUUGGGGAUGGACUCGCGGCUUAUCAGCUAGUUGGUGGGGUAGUGGCUUACCAAGGCUUUGACGGGUAGCCGGCAUGGGAGGGUGACCGGCCACAUUGGGACUGAGAUACGGACCAGACUCCUACGGGAGGCAGCAGUGGGGAAUAUUGCACAAUGGGAGGAAGCCUGAUGAAGCAACGCCGCGUGCGGGAUGACGGCCUUCGGGUUGUAAACCGCUUUAGCCUGUGACGAAGCGUGAGUGACGGUAAUGGGUAAAGAAGCACCGGCUAACUACGUG
rnacentral:rRNA from 1 species